rnacentral:lncRNA from 1 species
AGGAGGUUGGAGCUUAGAAAGCUUAAUAAACUUGUCCAAGGUGACACAGCUGGUGAAUUCCAGAAAUGAGACUCAAACCAGUCAUUCUGACUCUAGAAACUAUUUUAUUUACUGUCUCCUUAUAUUUCCAGGUUUAGUUCAUAUUUCUUUCCUCCUACUCCCCUCCCUCCCUCUUUUUCUUCUUCCCUCUCUGCAGACAUCAUUCUUUUCCAUUUGUUCAUUUUCUUUAUAGUUUUUAAAUCUCCAAACAUUGAAUAAGUACACGCUCUGUGCUGGGCAUGAUGUUAAGAGGCAGGAAUUCAAAGAGGAGCAAGACUCAGAUCAUACUCGCAAGAAACUUGCAGGUACUUUUGCUUCUUUACUGCCACUUUCUCUUCCUCCUCCUUCUCCAUCCCCCUCCGCUUCAUCUUCAUCAUCAUUGGCAGAUGUAGCAGAUAACUGAGGCCCCUCUACUAAGACUUAUGAAUUUUCCCGCUGAACAUUAAUUGCUGAAAGUAUAAAAAGCUAGAAGGCAACUAUCUCUUUGCCAGGGAAAUUCUGACAGGAGAAAAGCAGACCUGAAAGGAAAUGGUGCUAAAAAUACCACCAAGAUGUGAAGGACAGACUGACAGCCAGAGUCUUCAGAAUGAGACGGUGCAAAGCUGGAGAAGGGUCUCUGAGAAACACGGUGCCAUCCUGCAGCCCUGCUGAUACUUCGGCGGCCUGGGUCUGUCACCGGAAGGGUCUUCUGCGCAGAACAGGAAGUGAACGGUGCACUUUACUCAGCGGGCCAAGACUGAGCUGAGUGAGACCGCAGGACUGCGAUGGAGUGAAAGGGACCCGCACGCUCGGCAGGGGACCCCAGUGCCCCAUCUGCGUUGCAGCUGCCUCCUGUGCUCCUUGCAGGUGUCGUCAGCUUCCACCGACAGCCAGCUCUGGACCCCGCUGCCCCGCCGCCUGCCUUCGCUGGCCGUCACCUAAAACGAGCCUCUGAUCUCAGGUCAGGAACUCCUGAGUGUUUAAUCUCUCUGCUGUUCACGGCUAGCUGGGU